CCUACGGGAGGCAGCAGUGAGGAAUAUUGGUCAAUGGGCGCGAGCCUGAACCAGCCAAGCCGCGUGAGGGAAGACGGUCCUAUGGUUUGUAAACCUCUUUUGCCGGGGCGCAAAAGGCGCCACGCGUGGCGUUCCGAGCGUACUCGAAGCACAAGCACCGGCAAACUCAGUGACAGAGGCCGCGGUAAUUCGGAGGAUGCGAGCGUUAUCCGGAUCUAUUGGGUUAAAGGGGGGCGCAGGCGGAAGAUCAAGUCGGCGGUAAAAUUGAGUGGCUCAACCUCUUCGAGCCGUUGAAACUGGUGUUCGUGAGUGAGCGAGAAGUAGGCGGAAUGCGUGGUGUAGCGGUGAAAUGCAUAGAUAUCACGCAGAACACCGGUUGCGAAGGCAGCAUACCGGCGCUCAACUGACGCUCAUGCACGAAAGUGUGGGUAUCGAACAGGAUUAGAUACCCGAGUAGUC
rnacentral:rRNA from 1 species